GAUGAAGAACGUAGCGAAAUGCGAUAAGUAGAGUGAAUUGCAGAAUUCAGUGAAUCAUCGAAUCUUUGAACGCACAUUGCGCCCCUUGGUAUUCCAUGGGGCAUGCCUGUUCGAGCGUCAUUUGUACCUUCAAGCUUUGCUUGGUGUUGGGUGUUUGUCUCGCCUUUGCGUGUAGACUCGCCUUAAAAUAAUUGGCAGCCGGCGUAUUGAUUUCGGAGCGCAGUACAUCUCGCGCUUUGCACUCAUAACGACAGCGUCCAAAAGUACAUUUUACACUCUUGACCUCGGAUCAGGUAGGGAUACCCGCUGAACUUAAGCAUAUCAAUAAGCGGAGGA
rnacentral:misc_RNA from 1 species